GGUCAAGUGAAUAAGAGCAUGUGGUGGAUGCCUUGGCGAUGAUAGGCGACGAAAGACGUGAUAGCCUGCGAUAAGCUUCGGGGAGCUGGCAAAUAAGCUUUGAUCCGGAGAUUUCCGAAUGGGGAAACCCACCCUUCGGGGUAUCGCAUACUGAAUACAUAGGUAUGCGAGGCGAACCGGGUGAACUGAAACAUCUCAGUAGCUCGAGGAAAAGACAUCAACCGAGAUUCCGAAAGUAGUGGCGAGCGAAAUCGGAAGAGCCUGUCAGUGAUAGCGCAAGACUUAACAGAACAGCUUGGAAAGGCUGGCCAUAGUGGGUGAUAGCCCCGUAUGUGAAAAGACCUGUGUGGUACUGAGCUGACGAAAAGUAGGGCGGGACACGAGAAAUCCUGUCUGAAGAUGGGGGGACCAUCCUCCAAGGCUAAAUACUCAUCAUCGACCGAUAGUGAACUAGUACCGUGAGGGAAAGGCGAAAAGAAC
rnacentral:rRNA from 1 species